UUACCUGUACCAAAAAUUAAAAACUGAGACUGAAAUUGUAUCUUGUUGUAGAUACCGUAUUAUCAAAAUUAAACACAAGUGUUUAACACGUGACGUGUUGGGGUGGGGAUUCACAUUUCACGCAUACCAAUACCAUAAUCAGUAUCAAAGCUAAUAUGCUGAUCCAAAAGAAGAAAGUAAAAUAAAGUAAAAUCUAAAGGGGAUGCUGGAUAUUAUGCCAAGCAAAAGAAAACAUGUUUCUAUAAUAUGUUUUCCUUUGUGCAUGAAGCGAUGUAUGGAGAUGGGUGCAACAUGGGCUGGCUGUAGUCAAGUAUCACUCAAUCUAAACCAACAAAGUUAAAGAAACUGAAAGUUUCACUAACGCCAAUAACAUUUCACGCUUUACCUCCUGCAGAACAGAUGGAUCAUCACUAAAUCUGGAUGAAAGCUUUAUUAGUUUAUUCAAUCCUUUCUUUUCAAUAAUAGCACUCUUGUUAGCGUCA